UGCUGUUGUCGUUGGAGGACAGGAUGGGACUUGUGCCCCCUGGCACUCAGGUGGAGCAGCUGCUGUAUGCUAAGAAGCUGUAUGACUCGGCUUUCCAUCCUGACACGGGGGAGAAGAUGAACGUCAUUGGGCGGAUGUCCUUCCAGGUCCCCGGGGGCAUGAUCAUCACAGGCUUCAUGCUCCAGUUCUACAGGACCAUGCCUGCGGUGAUCUUCUGGCAGUGGGUGAACCAGUCCUUCAAUGUCUUAGUCAACUACACCAACAGGAACGCGGCUUCCCCCACGUCAGUCAGGCAGAUGGCCCUCUCCUACUUCACAGCCACUACCACUGCGGUAGCCACUGCAGUGGGCAUGAACAUGUGGACAAAGAGAGCUCCCCCCUUGGUGGGCCGAUGGGUACCCUUUGCCGCUGUGGCUGCAGCUAACUGUGUCAAUAUCCCAAUGAUGCGACAGCAGGAACUCAUCCAGGGCAUCUGUGUGAAGGACAGGGACCAAAAUGAGCUUGGCCGUUCUCAGAGAGCUGCAGCUGUGGGCAUCACCCAAGUGGUUGUUUCUCGGAUCACGAUGGCAGCCCCUGGCAUGAUCCUGUUACCAGUCAUCAUGGAGCGGCUGGAGAGACUACGAACAAUGAAGAAGGUGAGAGUGCUGCAUGCCCCCCUGCAGGUCUUGUUGUGCGGCUGCUUCCUCCUCUUCAUGGUGCCAGUGGCAUGUGGGCUCUUCCCUCAGGAAUGCAAAUUAGCAGUUUCCUAUCUAGAACCAGAGCUGCAGGACACCAUCAAGGCCAAGUAUGGAGAACACGUCCUCUUUGCCUACUUCAAUAAGGGUCUCUAAGUGUGCCAUGCCUUCAAGGACCAAUCCAUACCCUGUAUGGACCAGCUGUUCGCUGGCAGCUGUCCACAUUCCUCUUUGAAAUAAGUGUCCACAGAGGUCAGAGGAGGGUGUCAGAUCCUCUGGGACUCGAGUUACCACUGUGAGCCAUCACAUGGGUGCUGGAAAUCAAGCCCAGGUCCUCUGGAAGAGCAGCUGCUGCUCUUACCUGCUGAGCCGUCUCUACAGCCCCUGUUCAGGAGCAGAGAGGGGUCAGUCUGUGUCCUCUUGGGGACUCAUCUCUACCCUGCCCCACUGUGCCCUGACUGGGAUGCAUCCUUGGGCAUGCUGCUAGACUUGAGUUUUUCAGGCGGUGAGAGUUAUCUGUACUAAAAAAGGACAAAAACUGGACAGACAGUUCCUUUCCUCAGCCCAUUAGGUCAAAUACCAGAGACUGGUAUGUACGAUAGGAAAAGGAAGCUGUGCUUGGACACCCGAGCACAGUUCAACCAGGACCAAAGAGCCUUAAGAGUGUACAGCCAGACUGGCAUUUCACCCGAGUUAUGUGGGGCAUCAAGUUCUAUCCCUUUAAUAAUGACUUUAUUCUGUCUGAAAAUCAUGUCUAGAUCUAUUUCUGGGACCCUUAUUCUGAGAGAAGUCUCUUUCUCAUUGCCUCCCCUGGUUUACAAGUCCCCUCACUGAGUGAAGGCACCUGCCACACAUUUUAAUGGGAGCGAAUUCCUGGUGGCCUUCCUUCCUGAGCCCAAUAGAUUAAAUACCAAAGAAAGACUGGUGAGUGCGGGUAAGACAGGGGAGCUGUACUUGGACAUCUCUGAGAGGAAGUCAACCAGGACCAAAGAGCCCAAAGAGAGCACCCAGCAAAGGGCCGCUUUAGUUCCUGUCUGUUCCUGGAGCCCCCUGGGGACUGUAGUUUACCUGGGGUCAGUGUGUAUAUGAGUUUUGUCUGGUAAGAUUUGCCGAUUGUGUUCAAACGCUGCCAUGAAUUGAAUAAACGAUUUGAAAGACCAUGAAA